AUACGUAGGGGGCGAGCGUUGUCCGGAAUGAUUGGGCGUAAAGGGCGCGUAGGCGGCCCGGUAAGUCUGGAGUGAAAGUCCUGUUUUUAAGAUGGGAAUUGCUUUGGAUACUGUCGGGCUUGAGUGCAGGAGAGGUAAGUGGAAUUCCCAGUGUAGCGGUGAAAUGCGUAGAGAUUGGGAGGAACACCAGUGGCGAAGGCGACUUACUGGACUGUAACUGACGCUGAGGCGCGAAAGUGUGGGGAGCAAACAGGAUUAGAUACCCUGGUAGUCCACACUGUAAACGAUGAAUGCUAGGUGUAGGGGUAUCGACCCCUUCUGUGCCGCAGUCAACACAAUAAGCAUUCCGCCUGGGGAGUACGGCCGCAAGGUUGAAACUCAAAGGAAUUGACGGGG
rnacentral:rRNA from 1 species